UACGAAGGGGGCUAGCGUUGUCCGGAAUCACUGGGCGUAAAGCGCACGUAGGCGGCUUCUUAAGUCAGGGGUGAAAUCCUGGAGCUCAACUCCAGAACUGCCUUUGAUACUGAGGAGCUUGAGUCCGGGAGAGGUGAGUGGAACUGCGAGUGUAGAGGUGAAAUUCGUAGAUAUUCGCAAGAACACCAGUGGCGAAGGCGGCUCACUGGCCCGGUACUGACGCUGAGGUGCGAAAGCGUGGGGAGCAAACAGG
rnacentral:rRNA from 1 species